rnacentral:rRNA from 1 species
UGCAAGUCGAACGGUAACAUUUCUAGCUUGCUAGAAGAUGACGAGUGGCGGACGGGUGAGUAAUGCUUGGGAACUUGCCUUUGCGAGGGGGAUAACAGUUGGAAACGACUGCUAAUACCGCAUAAUGUCUUCGGACCAAACGGGGCUUCGGCUCCGGCGCAAAGAGAGGCCCAAGUGAGAUUAGCUAGUUGGUGAGGUAAAGGCUCACCAAGGCGACGAUCUCUAGCUGUUCUGAGAGGAAGAUCAGCCACACUGGGACUGAGACACGGCCCAGACUCCUACGGGAGGCAGCAGUGGGGAAUAUUGCACAAUGGGGGAAACCCUGAUGCAGCCAUGCCGCGUGUGUGAAGAAGGCCUUCGGGUUGUAAAGCACUUUCAGUUGUGAGGAAAAGUUAGUAGUUAAUACCUGCUAGCCGUGACGUUAACAACAGAAGAAGCACCGGCUAACUCCGUGCCAGCAGCCGCGGUAAUACGGAGGGUGCGAGCGUUAAUCGGAAUUACUGGGCGUAAAGCGCACGCAGGCGGUUUGUUAAGCUAGAUGUGAAAGCCCCGGGC